CUGUCUUUUUUAGCGUCUAGCUGCUGAUAUAUUGUUGUAAACUCAUUGCACCAACUGCUGGAUAUUUCAUGAGCGCUGGAUAUUGGCGCAAGCUUCAAAUCUACCAACGGUCAUAAACAAACUCUGGCUUUAUUUUCACAGAUAAAAGGUUUAGAGCAGCGCUGUUUACUGACUGGGAGAACCAGGCUGUUUAAGGCCACGUCUGAUGCUAAACCAUGUAGAAAGAAGUGUGGAAAACAAGUGGUCAUCUGGAUGACAGGCGACCGGUCAGAAACAGCCUAAAGAAACAGGAGGAAAAGUACCUGUCUGUCUAACAAUGACCUGCCGUCUCCCAGCCAGCGACUUAAUUACCAUCACUGGACAACUGUCAACACAUGAGGAAUUAUGGG
ensembl:lncRNA